rnacentral:rRNA from 1 species
GAUCCUGGCUCAGGACGAACGCUGGCGGCGUGCCUAAUACAUGCAAGUAGAACGCUGAAGGAGGAGCUUGCUUCUCUGGAUGAGUUGCGAACGGGUGAGUAACGCGUAGGUAACCUGCCUGGUAGCGGGGGGAUAACUAUUGGAAACGAUAGCUAAUACCGCAUAAUAUUGAUUAUUGCAUGAUAGUCAAUUAAAAGGUGCAACUGCACCACUACCAGAUGGACCUGCGUUG